CAGCAUGAAGCCGUUCCUGUCUGUAUUUCAUGCCAAAGCUCAUGAUUUCAAAUGCGAGGUCAAAUGGAGUGGGGCAUAUCAGGAAGGGGCUGGCCUAACACUAGGCGAGGAGGUUGAGCAGUGCAAUGCCUUCCUCUCUAGGAUUGCAGUGACCACAAAGCACAUGUCAAAAGCUGGUGAGAUGACCACAUACUGCACUAGUUAGAUGGACGCACAGACAUGCUGACUCUCUUGGCCAUGCGCUGGAAUCAGCAAAAGUUGGACAAUUUGGCCACCUCACUGUCUCACAGAUAUCACAAGACCAUACAAUCUCUACAAAGCAAGCAACAGAAUGUUGAGUCCAUGAAAGCUCAGUUGGCAGUGACAGAGAGCCAUUUGGAAGACUGGGUCAGUGAUGUCAAAGAGUGGGCAGAAGCAACAACAAACACAAGCACAAAUGAUGUGGAUGCCUUGGCCAGUAGAAUCGAGGUGCUGGUGACCAGUAUAAAGAGACGCUCACAGCGUCUUUAUAAAGAUACUGACGGCAACAAAGGUCGUGCCAGGAUCCGCCGCAAAAUCAGGGAGGAGAAGGGGAUCCUGACCUCUGUUGUGGAGAAAUACAACAAAAUAGUUCCAAGCACAGAAAGUCUUUGCAUGGAAACCAUUGUGUCUGGCGAGACAGCUUGGCCAUGGCAGCUACCACACAGUGGACAAAGAGAAAGGCGUUUGACAUCAUCAUGGCAGUAAGGAGACUGGAGGAGGAGAAGAAUAUUCUUGUUCUGGAGAUGGACCACCACUGGAAAUGGCUUUCAACUCGUGCAAAGACCUCGCAAGAGUUGUCCAGUCUACUUUCUAAUUGGCCAUGUGGCUUUAGUGAAGAGGGGUUGAAAGGUCUGCAGAGCAUCAUCCUGAGAAAGCAGCAGAACAUCAGAGAGAAGAAGAUGCAAGCUAGAGACUGCUACCUGCGACUUUUGUCUGGAGAGACUGCAGAGAACAUGAGCUUCUUGCACAAGCCGGAUGAUUGUGACAGUGACUCGGACAGUUCUGAUGAUGCACUGUAAUUGUACCCGUUACCGCUGCUCCACUUUCCUGUGCCAGUGGAAUUACAAAUGCUACUGUAGGUUGGUCACGUGAUGCCCUCUGGCCCAAAAAUACUUCUUACCAUUGCAACAAAACAAAUGAGCCAUGGUAGCAUGGUUUCCAGCAGGAGUGUUUGAGAAAAAACGGACAAAAUCUCCUUCAUUUCUAGUAUUACUAUUAUUAGUAUUAUUAUUUUUAUAUAGACAGCAGAUAUGAGAGGACAGGGAAGACUGUUUACAAAGUAUCAGGGGAGUCAAUAUCACCAUAAGGUGCCUUUUCCCCAUUUCCCCCCAAAAAAGCUGAGAUUUUCCAUUGAACUUCAUAUUCAUUGCAUUAAGUAUAUGUUAUGCUCUUAGAAAUGCAUAUUGGUCAAGCUCCCACACUUUUUAUAAAUUAACUGCAAGAAGACAAUUUACAUGCAAACAGCAAAAUAUGUCCACCCUGUCAUGGACAAUUUCAAAGCAGAGUAAAUACAUUGUAAUUACAUAGUGAUUAUAAAAUGUACAUUUUCAGAAAGGUAUUUAGUCACUUUCUCAUGUUAAUGGGAAAAGUAUUUGGAUAAUAAUGAAAUGAUGGCAAACUAUUUGUUUCUCUAUAAAAUCUGCGAGAGUUACACUUUCUUUUCUAAAUAAAAUCUAACAACAAAGAUAUCUGGUCAAACUUUCAAACAAUACUAUUUGGCCCUCAUUUGUUUAUAAAGGAACCACACAAAAGAUGUUGCUAACUUGUGAAAAUAAUUUGUUUCUUUUCAUAGAACAUGAAAAUAACAGGGUGGACAGUGACAUGACAGGGUGGACACGUUGUGAAAUGUCAUUGAAUGGCCUCAUAAAUGCCAGGAACAAUGCAAGAAAAUGAUGUAAAAAAAUGCCUUUUCCCAUGUAGGGGGAAAUUACCAGUUGAACAGACCGGUUUGGAUCCACUCAACCUGCAUGCAGCCACUAAAUUAAGAUGACCAAAAGGAGACAUUAAUGUGGCCUUCUAGUGUUAAACUCUGUACAUCAUUCUGCACAGUGAAAGUCAAACAUUCAACUGUAGAAGAAGAAGAAAUUUUGGAGAACAGUUGAUUUGAAAAAAACAGAAUAUUACAGAAAGAUCAUUUGGACGCAUCUCCAAACAGUCUCUCCAUUUCUGCAGAGACAUGGCUCAGUUCCACAUACUUCCAUGCAUACACUUUAAUCUGUACAGAGCGCUUGUUCAGAGCCUGUGGGUCUGGUAUUAGGCAAAGUACCUGCCAGUCAUGGUACCAGCAGAUGUUGUCCCGAAGACUUGGCCAAUGGAACUUGUUUAUGCCAUGGCGUUGCAUACACUUAAAGGAGACAUAUUAUACCCUAUUUCCCCAAGUUAAAAUAGUUCCCUGGUGUCCUAAUGAACAUGUCUGUGACAUGCUUUGGUCAAAAUACCAUAAGGAUGAAGCAUCAUAGCAGUUCAAUAACCCUGCUAAACCCGCCCCUUUCAGAACGCUCGGUUUUCGUGCAUGGUCCCUUUAUAUGCAAAUGAGACACAGGCAAACACACACCCACUUCUUCCAGGGGGUUUCUGAUUUGUCCUCUUUACAGUGCUUUACAGCUCUAUUCCUCUCCCCCUCCCUCCACUAGUUCUCUGACAAUAUCAACAUGGCAGCGUGCGCAGAAAACAGCGAGAGUGGCGUCACAGGAAGAG